rnacentral:lncRNA from 1 species
CACUGCACCCACCAGGUGAUUUGCAUAUUGUCCCCUAGGGUGGACCUUCCCUUGUGAGUCUGAGAUAAAAGCUCAGCUCUAUCCUUGCCUUGACUGAUCAGGACUCCUCAGUUCACCUUCUCACCAUGAGGCUCCCUGCUCAGCUCCUGGGGCUGCUAAUGCUCUGGGUCCCUGUGAGGAUAUUGUGAUGACCCAGACUCCACUCUCCCUGCCCGUCACCCCUGGAGAGCCGGCCUCCAUCUC